rnacentral:misc_RNA from 1 species
CGCACAUUGCGCCCAUUAGUAUUCUAGCGGGCAUGCCUGUUCGAGCGUCAUUUCAAACUUCAAGCAUUGCUUGGUAUUGAAGCCAGCGGCUCUUCGCGGCUUUUAAAACUAUUGGCAGAUCUGCGGUGAUCUAGAUUCAGUAAUUUUAUCUAAUCUGUGAUUCCUCAUAUGGUCUUGCCUCGAAAGUCUUUCAGUUUCGAUUGGAAGAAAACUUAAAAACAGUUUGACCUCGGAUCAGGUAGGAAUACCCGCUGAACUUAA